GGCCCGGGCGCCGGGGCCCCGGGCGCCGCGUGCUCCGACAUGCCGUCCCGCGUCGCGCCCUUAGCGGUCCGCGGGUCCCCGAGCGCGCCUCCCGGCAGCCAUGGGCCGUCCCCGCCGCCGCCGCCCGCUCACGGCCGCCCGGCCGCCGCCGCCAUCUUCCGCCUCCGCGUCCUGCUGACGCCUGCGAGUCGCCGCGCCCGGCCAGAGCGGCCCCUGCGCCCGCGGGGCACGCUGGGAUGCCGGCGGCCGACCCGCGGAGGCCCCGCCUGCUCGCUCGGCCGCGCCGCUCGGGGACGCUGCGGGGCGGGGCUGCGUCGGGACUGCUGUUUUGCAUGUUGGCCCCCAGAAUCCUCUGCGGCUGCGAGGCCGCGCGUGGGAGUCAAAAUUAGUCAAUAUGGGAGGGUUUUAAACGCGAUCGAAGACAGCUAAGGAAGUGUGACGGGAGGACAUGUUCCUUUGCAUGGUGCUCUCGAGAAAGCCAUGCCGGACAGGUUGCAUCAAAUUGGCAUAACUGUAAAGCACUUUGUUCAAUGCCCUUCAAAUAAGCCGGCGGUUGGCGUGUUUGUCCGAGAAAAGGCUCCCGCGCGUGCAGCGAGUUUUGCGUGAGGGUGGGCCCUCCUGACGUCACUAAAACUCCUGGCGUCAUAGGGUCCCGCCGGGCUCUGCGCCUGGCUGUUCACGAAGGUCGGGGACUGGACGAAGCUCCGCCCUCCUGCCCGUCGCGGUGCAUCCGGGGAUUUCGCACGGGGGCUGUGGGUCCCGAGCCGGGUUUUGCCCAUCUGGUGUCACCACGGCAGUUUCUUUUCUCCUCCAGACCCUCGUCCCUGCUGCGCGCCCCCUGCGUGACCUUGGCCCGAUGGUGACCUGGAGGACCGCACGGGACUCAGAGCCCGUGCCGGCCACUAAGGCUUGGGGACCACCCCCCAAAAAAACCGCAAAAGAGUGUCCGGGUUGGGCCCGCGGUCCAGAACACACCGGCCAGUAGGAACGUAGCACAAACCACACCCGCAGUUCUCAGUUUUAAGCCACAUUAAAGGACCGAAACGAGGACAGUCUCGGAAACGGUUCCCAUAACUCGGUGUCUCGGAAACGGGAUCAUUUCAACGUGUGAUCGAUGUGAAAGACGAUUAACGGGGCCUUUCACCCGCUGCUGCGCCAGGUCCGAGAAGUCCGGCCCGACCCGGACGUGGAUGCGCCCUCGGAAAACCCGCGGCCAAAACGGACCCGCCAGGACGAUUCCCGAAACCUGGAUCCAGCGUCGGUUUUUAAGUUUGCGUCAGAAUUAACUCAAGUCAAAUAAAAUGAAGCCUUCGCUUCCA